GAUGAACGCUAGCUACAGGCUUAACACAUGCAAGUCGAGGGGCAGCGGGAUUGAAGCUUGCUUCCAUUGCCGGCGACCGGCGCACGGGUGAGUAACGCGUAUCCAACCUUCCGUACACUCAGGGAUAGCCUUUCGAAAGAAAGAUUAAUACCUGAUGGUAUGAUGAGAUUGCAUGAUAUCAUCAUUAAAGAUUUAUCGGUGUACGAUGGGGAUGCGUUCCAUUAGGUAGUAGGCGGGGUAACGGCCCACCUAGCCAACGAUGGAUAGGGGUUCUGAGAGGAAGGUCCCCCACAUUGGAACUGAGACACGGUCCAAACUCCUACGGGAGGCAGCAGUGAGGAAUAUUGGUCAAUGGACGAGAGUCUGAACCAGCCAAGUAGCGUGAAGGAUGAAGGUCCUACGGAUUGUAAACUUCUUUUAUAAGGGAAUAAACCCUCCCACGUGUGGGAGCUUGUAUGUACCUUAUGAAUAAGCAUCGGCUAACUCCGUG
rnacentral:rRNA from 1 species